rnacentral:lncRNA from 14 species
GCCUUCCCUGCUGUGCCAAUGACCUGGACUCCUGUCAAGGACUCGAACUUGGGGAUAGAGAAAGCACCGGUCAGAACUGUCCUCCGGUUUGCACGGAACCAGG